rnacentral:rRNA from 1 species
GAUGGUUCUAGGUUGAAAAAUAUAAUUUAUUAAAGCGUAAAUUUAGUAGUAUAAGAUUAGAAAAGUGUUUGAUUUUAUAACUGAAAAGGAAUAAUAUAAUAUAAAAAGAAGAUAAAAUUGUUUUUGUACCUUUUGUAUCAGGGUUUAUUAAAUAGGAGUUAAAUAAAUUUUCUCGAGGUAGCAAGGGCUAUUGUUAAUGGUUAUUGUUUUCGUGGUAAUGAAAUUUGGUAGUUAAUAAUAGUAAUGAGAUAUUAAUCGGUUGUUAGGAUAUCUAGUUGUAUUUUAAAUAGUUAAUACUAGUAGAGGUUAAAAUUUAUAAGAUUAGUUAUAAAUUGUUAUAGUUUGUGUAAAUUGAUUAAACAUAUAUUGCUUUAAUAGUAAGUAUAUAAUAGUGUGUUAUUACUAAUGUUUAAUAUAUAAGGAUUAAAAUGGACAAUUAAUAUAUAGAAUACUAAUUAAAUUAAUAAUGAAUUUAUUAAAAUAAUGAUAAAAUGAGUAUAUGUAAAUUAAAUAGUAUAAUAAUAUUAAUAGAUAAGAUGAAUAUUGAGUAAAUAGUUGUGAAUAACUCGGCAAUGAAGUUCUAAAAUGUUUAACAAAAACAUUUCCUUUUAUGUGAAAGGUAAAUCCUGCCCGGUGUUUAUAAACGGCUGCGGUAUCCUGACCGUACGAAGGUAGCAAAAUAAAUAGUCUUUUAAUUGGGGACUGGUAUGAAAGGUUUAAUUAGGAACUUACUUUUUUACAAUUAAAAAUAGAAUUUGAUUAAUAAGUUAAAAGGCUUAUAUAAAUUAAAGUGACAAGAAGACCCUAAGAGUUUUACAAAUAAUAUUGGUUGGGGGCAGUUUGAUGUAAUGUUCAAGUUGAUUGAUUUUGUUUAACUGGGGCGGUUAAAAUAGUAUCUAUUUAGAAAAUAACUUAAUUUAUAGUAUAUGAUGUAUUAUCAUCCUUAUUAGGAAUACAAAAUAAAUUACCUUAGGGAUAACAGCAUAAUCUUUUUUGAGAGAUCUUAUUGACAAAAAGGUUUGUGACCUCGAUGUUGGAUUUGAAUAACUUUUUGGAGCAGCCUCUAAAAAAGUUGGUCUGUUCGACCAUUAAAUUUCAACAUGAUCUGAGUUCAGACCGGCGUGAGCCAGGUCAGAUUAUAUCUUUUAAGUAUAAAUGUUUAGUUUUGUACGAAAGGACUAAUUAAAUUAGAUUUUCUGUUAAUGUUG